UACGGUUACCUUGUUACGACUUCACCCCAGUCGCUGACCUUACCGUGGCCUGCUGCCUCUAAAAGUUAGCACACAGUCUUCGGGUAAAACCAACUCCCAUGGUGUGACGGGCGGUGUGUACAAGGCCCGGGAACGUAUUCACCGUGGCAUGCUGAUCCACGAUUACUAGCGAUUCCAACUUCAUGCUCUCGAGUUGCAGAGAACAAUCCGAACUGAGACGGCUUUUAGAGAUUAGCUCCUCAUCGCUGAGUGGCUGCUCACUGUCACCGCCAUUGUAGCACGUGUGUAGCCCGGCCCGUAAGGGCCAUGAUGAUUUGACGUCAUCCCCACCUUCCUCCGGCUUAUCACCGGCAGUCCCUCUAGAGUGCCCAACUUAAUGCUGGCAACUAAAGGCGAGGGUUGCGCUCGUUGCGGGACUUAACCCAACAUCUCACGACACGAGCUGACGACAACCAUGCAGCACCUGUAUCCAAUCCAGCCGAACUGAAGGAAAGCAUCUCUGCUAUCCGCGAUUGGUAUGUCAAGGGCCGGUAAGGUUCUUCGCGUUGCCUCGAAUUAAACCACAUGCUCCACCGCUUGUGCGGGCCCCCGUCAAUUCCUUUGAGUUUUAGUCUUGCGACCGUAGUCCCCAGGCGGGGUGCUUAACGCGUUAGCUGCGUCACCAAACAGCAUGCUGCCUGACAACUAGCACCCAUCGUU
rnacentral:rRNA from 1 species